rnacentral:rRNA from 1 species
AGUGGCGACCGGGUGAGUAAUACGAGACCAAUCUACCCUCGAGUGGGGGAUAACUCCGGGAAACCGGGGCUAAUACCGCAUAAAAUCUUUGGGACGGAAGUGCUGAAGAUCAAAGGAGCAAUUCGCUUGAGGAGGAGGUCGCGGCUGAUUAGCUAGUUGGCGGGGUAAUGGCCCACCAAGGCGAAGAUCGGUAGCCGGCCUGAGAGGGCGCACGGCCACACUGGAACUGAAACACGGUCCAGACUCCUACGGGAGGCAGCAGUGGGGAAUUUUGCGCAAUGGGGGAAACCCUGACGCAGCAACGCCGCGUGGAGGAUGAAGUCCCUUGGGACGUAAACUCCUUUCGACCGGGACGAUAAUGACGGUACCGGUGGAAGAAGCCCCGGCUAACUUCGUGCCAGCAGCCGCGGUAAUACGAGGGGGGCAAGCGUUGUUCGGAAUUAUUGGGCGUAAAGGGCGCGUAGGCGGUGCGGUAAGUCACCUGUGAAAUCUCCGGGCUUAACUCGGAGUCUGCAGGCGA